rnacentral:ncRNA from 1 species
ACCCGCCCCCGAUGACAAGGUUGCCACAUGAGGCAGCCUUCCGUACCAGGAGUACGGAUAGUCGGGGGGUUUUAU